AAAAAUAAGUGGGCAUGGUGGUCUUGCAUCGGAUUGCGAAGAGAGCGGUCUCCAUGAUCCCCGGCGGCAACGCCGGCUCCGUUCUCGGCAUCCACGUCUUCCACUGCCCGGACGCGGUGGGGAUCGUCGCCAAACUCUCGGAGUGCAUUGCGUCGAGGAGCGGAAACAUACACAGCGUGGAUGUCUUUGUCCCCGAGAAGAAGCAGGUCUUUUACUCGAGGAGUGAGUUUGUAUUCGAUCCUGCUCGUUGGCCUCGGGAUGUCGUGGACAAUGACUUCAACAAAAUAUCAAAGUUAUUCAGUGCAGAAAAAUCUGUUGUACGCGUCCCUGAUCUAGACCCUAAAUUUAAGAUUGCAGUUCUUGCUUCAAAGCAGGAACAUUGUUUGGUGGACUUGUUAUAUAGAUGGCAGGAGGGUAGACUUCCCGUGGACAUCAGUUGUGUAAUAAGCAAUCAUCAAAGAGCUCCUAAUACACAUGUUGCUCUCUUUCUUGAACGACAUGGGAUUCCAUAUCAUCACUUGCCAACAAGUGCUGGAAAUACAAGAGAAGCAGAGAUCCUGGAAUUGGUUGAAGAUACUGAUUUUCUUGUACUUGCAAGAUACAUGCAGGUACUAUCUAGAAGGUUUCUGGAGAGCUAUGGUAAAGAUAUAAUUAACAUUCAUCAUGGCCUUCUUCCAUCAUUUAAAGGAGGGAAUCCUUCGAAACAGGCUUUUGAUGCUGGGGUAAAAUUGAUUGGUGCAACAAGUCAUUUUGUAACUGAAGAGCUGGAUGCUGGUCCAAUUAUUGAACAAAUGGUAGAGAGAGUUUCUCACAGAGACACCUUAAAAAGUUUUGUGCAGAAAUCAGAGAAUCUCGAAAAGCAAUGUCUCACACAAGUGAUAAAAUCGUAUUGUGAACUUCGAGUGCUACCAUAUCAAGUAAACAAGACUGUUGUCUUCUGACAAGCUUCCUUAAACUUCCAUACUUAGAUCCCGAGGCUGAGAAGUUGUUACUAUGUUCAACUACAGCAAUACUUCAUCAUGCAUGGUAACACCAACUCCAUCUCUCUCUUCUUUGAUACACUUAAAUGUAUUUUGUGAAAGAGCAAAGUAGACACCAAUUUCUUUUCUCAAAGAAUCAUGAUAUGUCAAAAUGCUUUCUAAAUUCCUUUUUUAACCAGUGCUUGAGAUCAAUUUACUGACAUUCAUAUUGCCCACUCCAGUAGUAAUGAUGAUAUUAUUAUUGUCCCUCUUGACUGUUGCCCUAUUUAAUCCUUCAACCAGUCAAGAUUCAGAUCAGGUAUUCUUCAUUACUUGAGAUGCAGGUUUCAUCUAAUGAUAUUCCUCACAAGGAUAAAAGAGUACAUCUAAAAAUUUACAGAUGUAUUAUUAAUCUGCAAUCUGAAACUGCAGUGGAGCAUACAUCCUCCUGUUAUUAAGGUAAAGGUAAUGCAUAUCAAUCCUCUUACCAGUGCUAUAUCUUAAUUAGGAGGCACAUAUCUAAGCUGCUCUGCAAUAACUAUUGCAGAGAUCAAGUAGUUAUGUGAUCCACUUAUAAAGGUAUUAUAUACCAUCUUAAUCUGAAAUCUUAAGACUUGUAAGUAGAGAUGCAGCUUCCGAUAAACCUUUUCUGCGAGAAAGUGGAUCGAUUUUGUGGGAUGCUCUGUGUCUAUGUGAUCUGCUUAAACUGGAUUAGGCUGUGAGUAUGGGUAGAAUAAUGAGUAUUUUAAGGUUGAUUGAGUUUAGAUUGUAUUUAGAUAGCUUGUCGGGUUAAAGAACUGAUACGAUCAAUUACGUUUCCUCGAGACGGUUUCCCACGAAGCAACGCGGACGUCUGUUAGAGAGAGAAAGGACUGUGCUUCUAACACCUCACUCAGUCCAUGGAAGAAAGAGAGAAAGAUAGAGAAGAAGAAGAAGAAGACAGGAAAAGAGAACAUCGACCGAUGCGAUCGCUUGCACUUCCUGCUGUCAUUAAUUCCUCCAACGACCUCUUGUCCUCUUCCUCCAGCAUUCAGUCCUCACGGCAAUUCAGCCGUAAUUACUCUCUCUUUCUCUCCCUGGCCGAAGGAGAAGCUAAACGAGGACCAAAGGGAAGGUCUCCGUGAGGACGCGUAGAAAGAAUCAGAGCGUCAGCUUCUCCUGCUUCUGUUUCUGGCCUUGAGAGUUUCUCUUCAAAUGCACGAGGAAGGAGAGUAGGAAUGGGUGGAGAAGCUGUGCCCAUGGAGGUGACGAAUGCAGGGCGCGUGGAUUCUGUCUCUAAGGUGUCAUAUACUCGUGUUUCGCAUCUUGGGCGUUCUAAAAGUGCCUCUGAUAGAUACUUGGAGUUGACCAAAUCCAGACCAAGUGUAAGGGUUCCAUAAUAUUUUGAAUAUACUGAAGUCUCAUGGAAGCCAAAGUUCUUAUAAUCAAGAUUCAAGUGAGAGUGCCAGACAAACCACAUUAAACAGUCGAUAUUCCUUGGAAGAUGAUAUUAAACAACUUCAGAUGCAUUUGCAUCAAGAAAACUCGUUUUCUGCUGGAGAAGGCGAUUGGUUGAGCUUCCAGUACUUUUAUCUCCUGGGCAUAGACAUUUUUCUGCUCAG